UCGGGAAUUUUGGGCAAUGGGCGAAAGCCUGACCCAGCAACGCCGCGUGAAGGAUGAAGUAUUUCGGUAUGUAAACUUCGUAAGAAUAGGAAGAAUAAAUGACGGUACUAUUUGUAAGGUCCGGCUAACUACGUGCCAGCAGCCGCGGUAAUACGUAGGGACCAAGCGUUGUUCGGAUUUACUGGGCGUAAAGGGCGCGUAGGCGGUUUGUCAAGUCAGUUGUGAAAUCUCCGAGCUUAACUCGGAACGGUCAACUGAUACUGUCAAACUAGAGUACAGAAGGGGCAAUCGGAAUUCUUGGUGUAGCGGUGAAAUGCGUAGAUAUCAAGAGGAACACCUGAGGCGAAGGCGGGUUGCUAGGCUGAUACUGACGCUGAGGCGCGAAAGCUAGGGUAGCAAACGGGAUUAGAUACCCUUGUAGUCCCUGAGCGGGCUGGCAAGGCGCAU
rnacentral:rRNA from 1 species